rnacentral:misc_RNA from 1 species
GCCAACAUAAACUAUUCAUAGAUUUUAGGAAAAAGAAGAAAUUGCAUACAAGAGAAUGCCAAAGAACGCCUCCUUGGAAUAUAUAGGCAAGACGAACAAACUUCAGCUAAUAUUAGAAUUAACACGGGAGGGUGCACAGCACACAAUCUCUCUCUUCUCAUUAACAUCUAGUCGACGUGGACCUGAUCAGAGCUCUUGGUUGGUCGUCUGUAAAAUCCCGUGAUAUUGUAUCCGUAAGUUCUUUAAGACCCUUCAGAUUAGGAGUUUCCAGAUGCGUCAGCAGGCCCUGAGCCUUGCCUGGAAGUUGAAGCUGCUCCUUUAGAGUUUCAGGCAAUUUCACUUGCUUUCCAUCAACAAUUUUGCACAGGUAAAAUACACCAGCAUUUGCAAUAUCCUGCUUACCUUCAAGCUGAGAUAGUUUCCCGUCCAAACCAGAAACCAAGUCUUGCAAAUGGCCCAAGUCAAA